GACGGCCAUACCACCCUGAACGCGCCCGAUCUCGUCUGAUCUCGGAAGCUAAGCAGGGUCGGGCCUGGUUAGUACUUGGAUGGGAGAGAGACAAGAAACAGACAGCUGUUAACA
rnacentral:rRNA from 1 species